CUGCCCUUAACUCUGGGAUAAGCCUGGGAAACUGGGUCUAAUACCGGAUAUGACUCCUCAUCGCAUGGUGGGGGGUGGAAAGCUUUAUUGUGGUUUUGGAUGGACUCGCGGCCUAUCAGCUUGUUGGUGAGGUAAUGGCUCACCAAGGCGACGACGGGUAGCCGGCCUGAGAGGGUGACCGGCCACACUGGGACUGAGACACGGCCCAGACUCCUACGGGAGGCAGCAGUGGGGAAUAUUGCACAAUGGGCGAAAGCCUGAUGCAGCGACGCCGCGUGAGGGAUGACGGCCUUCGGGUUGUAAACCUCUUUCAGUAGGGAAGAAGCGAAAGUGACGGUACCUGCAGAAGAAGCGCCGGCUAACUACGUGCCAGCAGCCGCGGUAAUACGUAGGGCGCAAGCGUUAUCCGGAAUUAUUGGGCGUAAAGAGCUCGUAGGCGGUUUGUCGCGUCUGCCGUGAAAGUCCGGGGCUCAACUCCGGAUCUGCGGUGGGUACGGGCAGACUAGAGUGAUGUAGGGGAGACUGGAAUUCCUGGUGUAGCGGUGAAAUGCGCAGAUAUCAGGAGGAACACCGAUGGCGAAGGCAGGUCUCUGGGCAUUAACUGACGCUGAGGAGCGAAAGCAUGGGGAGCGAACAGGAUUAGAUACCCUGGUAGUCCAUGCCGUAAACGUUGGGCACUAGGUGUGGGGGACAUUCCACGUUUUCCGCGCCGUAGCUAACGCAUUAAGUGCCCCGCCUGGGGAGUACGGCCGCAAGGCUAAAACUCAAAGGAAUUGACGGGGGCCCGCACAAGCGGCGGAGCAUGCGGAUUAAUUCGAUGCAACGCGAAGAACCUUACCAAGGCUUGACAUGAACCGGAAAUACCUGGAAACAGGUGCCCCGCUUGCGGUCGGUUUACAGGUGGUGCAUGGUUGUCGUCAGCUCGUGUCGUGAGAUGUUGGGUUAAGUCCCGCAACGAGCGCAACCCUCGUUCUAUGUUGCCAGCGCGUUAUGGCGGGGACUCAUAGGAGACUGCCGGGGUCAACUCGGAGGAAGGUGGGGACGACGUCAAAUCAUCAUGCCCCUUAUGUCUUGGGCUUCACGCAUGCUACAAUGGCCGGUACAAAGGGUUGCGAUACUGUGAGGUGGAGCUAAUCCCAAAAAGCCGGUCUCAGUUCGGAUUGGGGUCUGCAACUCGACCCCAUGAAGUCGGAGUCGCUAGUAAUCGCAGAUCAGCA
rnacentral:rRNA from 1 species